UAAGAGAACUGAUCCUUUAGGCCCAUAACAUACCAACCCUAAUUCCUAAUACAAAACAAAACAAAAAUACAGCAAACAAAGUGAGCAUCCCAAAAGCAAAAAGAAGAAAUGCAACAGUAAGAGGAAAGAGAAGAGAGUCUCACCGACGAAUAUUUUUGACAAGGGCGAUAACUGCAUGAAGAAAGGGUGAUUUUUAGUGAUCAUAGGGGUUUUCCUAUGGCAACACGCUUGGUCCGACAACUGCAGUGAGGAAUAAAAGAAGAAAUUAGUGUCGCACCGUGUAAAACACCUGAGCGCAUUGCACGCUCGAAGAUUCACAAAGUUGUCACCAAACUUUAGUUAUUCUUUAAGGAAACGGAAAAUAUCAAUAAAACCUUGGGGAAGAGAAACAGAUAAGGAAGUCGGUUAUGCAAGGGGAGGGUAUUAACACCCCUCACAUUCGUUGUACUCAAAAGGAACCAUUUUGAUUGUUCUUUGUGUGAAUGAGUGUUAUUAUCUAAAGGUUCAUGCUUAGAUAUACCCUUCCAUAUUUUCUUUUUUAGUCUUAUGCUUAGGCAAACACCCAUUCUUGUAUGUCUUGAUCCCUGGAUCUAGGUAAAAUCCUACAACCUUGCAUUGACCAUAUCAUUUAUUGGUUAACGCCACACUCUUUGAUUCAGACAUACCUAUCUAUGGUUUCAAACAACACAGCCUUUAGUCUAAACCAUACUUCCACAAAUAACAUUUUCCUCAUUGCAUCAUUUCUUUUACAAUUCAAACAAAAAAUUUGCAAUUCAAGCAACUCUUUCUCUUUUUAGUUCAAUUUAAGCAACUUUUUCUUUUUUCUUGAAUGUAGUGUGGGGAUCAAAAUUGGGUUGUUGUUGUUUGAUCCAUGACACAACACUUCACUCAGAGUCAAGUAAAAAAAAUCAAGAUUCAUUCUUUCAAAUUCAAGAUUCAUUCAAAUUUA